rnacentral:rRNA from 1 species
AACCGACCUGGCUCACACCGGUUUAAACUCAGAUCAUGUAAAAUUUUAAAGGUCGAACAGACCUAAUCAUAAAGCUUCUUCACCUAUAAUUCAUUUUAAUCCAACAUCGAGGUCGCAAUCUUUUCUUUCGAUAAGAACUCUAAAAAAAAUUACGCUGUUAUCCCUAAGGUAAUUUAUUCUUAUAAUCCAAACUUCAGGAUCAAAUAUUCACAAAUAAAUGUACUUUCUUUAAAAGAAAAGUUUUUCUAAUUUUCCUAUCACCCCAAUAAAAUAUCUAAAAAUUAAUAGUUUUUUUAUUCCCAUAAAUAUAAUCCCAUUUCUAAAUAUAAAACUCUAUAGGGUCUUCUCGUCUUCUAUAUAAAUCUAAGCUUUCUCACUUAAAAAUAAAAUUCUAAUCAACUUAAAAAGAGACAGUUAAUUUCUCAUCACACCUUUCAUUCCAGCUUUCAAUUAAAAAACUAAUGAUUAUGCUACCUUUGCACGGUCAAUAUACCGCGGCCAUUAAAUUUUUCAUUGGGCAGGUAAAACCUAAAAU